UGCAAGUCGAACGAAGUAGCAAUACUUAGUGGCAGACGGGUGAGUAACAUGUAGGUAUCUACCCUUUGGCCUGGAAUAACACGAGGAAACUUGUGCUAAUACCGGAUAAGUCUUUACGGAGAAAGCUUUAUGCACCAUUGGAUGAGCCUGCACUUGAUUAGUUUGUUGGUAGGGUAAUGGCCUACCAAGACUGUGAUCAAUAGCUGAUUUGAGAGGAUGAUCAGCCACAUUGGGACUGAGACACGGCCCAAACUCCUACGGGAGGCAGCAGUGGGGAAUCUUGCACAAUGGAGGAAACUCUGAUGCAGCGAUGCCGCGUGAGUGAAGAAGGCCUUUGGGUUGUAAAGCUCUUUCGUCGGGGAAGAAAAUGACUGUACCCGAAUAAGAAGGUCCGGCUAACUUCGUGCCAGCAGCCGCGGUAAUACGAAGGGACCUAGCGUAGUUCGGAAUUACUGGGCUUAAAGAGUUCGUAGGUGGUUGAAAAAGUUGGUGGUGAAAUCCCAGAGCUUAACUCUGGAACUGCCAUCAAAACUUUUCAGCUAGAGUUUGAUAGAGGAAAGCAGAAUUUCUAGUGUAGAGGUGAAAUUCGUAGAUAUUAGAAAGAAUACCAAUUGCGAAGGCAGCUUUCUGGAUCAUUACUGACACUGAGGAACGAAAGCAUGGGUAGCGAAGAGGAUUAGAUACCCUCGUAGUCCAUGCCGUAAACGAUGUGUGUUAGACGUUGGAAAUUUAUUUUCAGUGUCGCAGCGAAAGCGAUAAACACACCGCCUGGGGAGUACGACCGCAAGGUUAAAACUCAAAUGAAUUGA
rnacentral:rRNA from 1 species